GGAGAACCAAUAUGUGACUAAGCUCAUCAAAAUUUAUUGGUGAAAUUAGUCAUAAUACGUGGCUGGACAUAAUCAGACAUGCGCUGGAGCUGGGCCAUUAGAAGAGACUAGACACUCUAUUGAUUCAAAACUCAAUUAUCAGCUUCAUCCAUCUUCCACACUCUUCCAUCUUCAUAUAUAUUAUGUCUUGGUUCUGGCUCUCUUGAUCUCUUUUGUUCUAAAAGUGUGUAACUGUGUAUUGCCUUUGAAUUUUCCUUCUUGUUCACUACGACACUUUCGGUAUUUGGUAAUUCGUGAAGAAAUCUGCUGCUGAUACUUAAACUGCAGGUACUUUUGAUUUAUUCUGUUCGGUGCCUUUUAUUUUUUGUUUCUUCUAGUUUCUUGUAUUUUAUUUGUUUUGCGCAAUGUAAUUAGUAUUAUUUUUUUUAUCAAAGAAAGAGCGAAUGUAUUUAUCUGCUCAGACUUCCUGUUUUCUUCAUCUAUUUCGCAAGAUACAACAAUAGAAACUUUGAAGAAUUUUUUAUUCUUUUUUUCAAAACUGAUUUAUGAGUUUUAUAAAUAAAAAAAGGCUCCCUGUCUUCCCAAGUCUGCUUAGUUACAUAUAUUGUUAUGUAUUUUUUUUCUUUUAUACAAGCGAUAUUCAAGAACUGCUCUUAGAAUAGACUAGACACACGAUUGAUUCAAAACUCAAUUUUUCCCAGAAGCAAACCAUAACCAGAAUCAUAAAUAUAUAUAAAAUUAUUUGGGGGACUAUUUCCUUCUUCUUUUUUCAUAUUAUUGUCUCAUUUAGUACUGUUUCUUAUAAGAAUUAUUCUUACUCAUUUUGUUCAUAUAUAAGAAAUUUUGUUAUAAGCCUAAUUUUUUUGUCAAGCAGCUUGUAGUCAUUUCAAAGGCAAGCUCUAACGGACCCUUAAUCGGUAAUUUCAAGCUAAUAAAAAUUUUCGAUUGUCGUGAAAAUCUUGCCCUUAAUCUUCAAAUUGAUCAAAAUGAUAUAAUAAAACAACGUUAAUGAUACAACAAAUUUGGACUGGAGAAGUGGAACUGAGCUGGAGUCUUCCUAUAGUUUUGUUCCUCUCUAUUUCGAACAAAGUCACUUUGAUCGAAAUAGAACAGAACAGACAAAAAAUAAUUAUACUGUAAGUGCAGAAUCAGAUUUGAACUUCCGUGUAAGUGCUUCUUGCAAGCAUAAUAUACUGUUUCAAUAUUUUAUAUUUAUGUUUUUAUAAGCCAUAAGACUUACACAUCCUAAUUAAAACUAAUUUUUCACUUAAUUUCUGCAGUUGUGCAUCUUAAUUUGUUCAGUCUGGAUUUGAGGAUCUCAAGCAAAAUCAGAUCUCAAAAUUUCCAUGUAAGUGCUUAUUCUGAACUGAAAUAUCUACGCAAUUAUUUCAUUUUGUUUUAUAUUUGGCCUUCCAGCGUUAUUCUUGUUCCCCCAGCUAAAACUAGCUGUGCAUGUUGAUGUUGUUGAAGAAAACUUCCUUACUUCUUUGGCUGCUUGUGUGUGUCUCUUCGGUCUUAAUUAUCAACAAGUAUGGCAGUGGGAGAGAUUUUUCUUGGGGCGUUCCUUCAGGUGCUGCUCGACAAGUUGGCGCCUCGCGAGAUCCUCAACUACUUUGGUCUCGUAAAGGGCGUCGACAAAAAGCUGAAUAAAUGGAGUGACAAUUUGUCUGCAAUCGUAGCGGUGCUGAAUGAUGCGGAGGAGAAGCAACUGAUAGAGCAUCGUGUGAAAUUGUGGCUGGAUGAACUCAGAGACUUGGCUUAUGAUGUAGAUGACGUGCUGGACAAAUUUGCUACUAAAAUAUUGAAGCGCCAGAUAGAGGGACGGGAUCAAGCCAGCACAAGUAAAAAGGUGCAGAGUUUAUUCCCCAAACUGAAACUCAAUUUCGAUAUGAACUCUGAGAUAAAGAAGAUUACAGAGCGGUUGCAAGAGAUCUCUGAACGGAAAGAUAAGUUUGGUUUAAAGGGCACCGGAACGUCUAGUAAAGCAUGGUCAAGGCCACCAACUUCAGGUGUGCUAGGUGGACUAACCAUUGUUGGAAGAGAGGGAGAUAAAGCAAAAAUAUUAGACAUGUUGUCGAGAGAUGAGCAUAAUAAUGUCAACUUUCAUGUUGUUGCCAUUGUUGGCAUGGCUGGCCUUGGGAAGACUACACUUGCUCAAUUUGCAUUCAACAACAACAGUGAUGUCAUGAAGGAGUUCGAGCCGAGGGUGUGGGUGUCUGUGUCCGAUGACUUCGACAUUGUAAGAGUGACGAAGGCAAUUCUUGAAUCAGUCACAUCUCAACCCGUUAAAGUAGAGGAGUUCAGUAAAAUGCAGCAUGAUUUGAAUGAGCAGUUAAGAGGUAAAAAGUUUUUAAUUGUUUUAGAUGAUAUUUGGAACAAAGGUGAUUUAUAUGAUCUGUGGACAAGACUUCAGUCCCCUUUUAGUGUUGGAGCACAAGGAAGUAAGAUAAUUGUGACAACACGAGACCUAAAAGUUGCAAAGAUUAUGGGAGCCACCGAAGUUCAUAACUUGGAGUCUAUGUCAGAUGAUAAUUGUUUGGAAAUAUUUGAGCAGCAUGCAUUUGCGAACAUUAACAAUGAUAGACCACCAAAUUUUGAGUUGAUUCAGAAAAAAAUUGCUGAAAAAUGCAGUGGAUUGCCCUUAGCUGCAAGAACUCUUGGUGGGCUUUUACGUCAGAAUGAAAUAAACGAAUGGGAAGAAAUAUUGAACAACAAAUUGUGGAAUUUAUCAGGUAAGAGUGACAUUCUUCCGGUAUUAAAGUUGAGUUAUCACUAUCUUCCUUCCAACUUGAAGAGGUGUUUUGCCUAUUGCUCAAUAUUUCCAAAUGACUACGAAUUUGGGGAGAAGCAAUUGAUCCUUUUAUGGAUGGCAGAGGGUUUGAUUCAACAACCACCAGAAGCCAAUAGACAAAUGGAGGAUUUAGGCCACGACUAUUUUCAAGAGCUAUUAUGUAGGUCAUUAUUUCAAAAGGCAAGUGAAAACAGUUCACGAUAUGUAAUGCAUGACCUUGUUACUGAUUUGGCAAAAUGGGCAGCAGGAAAUACUUGUUUUAGAUUGGAGGACAAGAAAGGUGAUAGCUUGCAAUCUGUAUGCUUUCGUCAUUCGUCUUUCAUAAUUGGUGAGUUUGAUGGAGUUCAAAAGUUUGAGGCCUAUCGCGAAGUUAAACGUUUGCGAACAUUCCUGCCACUUUCACUAUCAGAUACUCGGUGGAGUAGACAAUAUCUGGCUCGUACGGUAAUUUUUGAUUUAUUACCUCAGAUGCAAUACUUACGGGUGCUUUCUUUGAAUGGCUAUCAAAUAACUGAGCUGCCAGAUUCAAUUGGUAAUUUGAAGUAUCUGCGGUAUCUUGAUUUUUCUCACACAAAUAUAACAAGUUUGCCUGAAUCAACAACCACUCUUUUCAACUUACAGACACUGAUAUUGGAAGGUUGUCGUUAUUUGAAGGCACUACCCAUGAACUUGAGGAAUCUAGUGAAUCUGCGUCAUCUCAAUAACUCAGAUGUAGGUUCACUGAAAGCAAUGCCUCCGCAACUAGGUCGGUUGACAAAUCUGCAAUCUUUGCCUAAUUUUGUGGUGGGUAAAGGAAGUGAUGAAUCAGGGAUAAGAGAGAUAGGAUCCCUAUCCCAUCUCCGAGGGACAUUAUCGCUCUCAAGGUUGGAGAAUGUGAUCGAUGCUGAGGAUGCACGGAAGGCCGACUUAAAAUCCAAGGAGAGAGUAGAUGAAUUGGUGCUAGAAUGGUCGGAUAACACACAAGAAACGCAAUUAGGCGUGCUUGACAGAUUAGAACCUCAUAGAAAGCUUGAAAAACUCAUCAUCAGGGGUUAUGCUGGAUUAGAAUUUUCAACAUGGAUUGGAGAUCGUUUAUUCUCCACUAUGUGCGUGUACGCUUAGACAAAUGUAAAAUGUCAAAUCUGCCACCACUGGGGCAGCUGCCUUUGCUUAAAGAACUUUAUAUACAGGAAUGGCGGCAGUGAAAAGUGUCGGUCCUGAGUUUUAUGGAGAGAGUAGCUUGCCUUUUCUAGUACUGGAGACUCUUGAGUUUUCAGAUAUGCACAACUGGAAGAAUGGCUUCCUUUCGCACAAGAUCAGGUUUUCCCUUGCUUGAAAUUGCUUUCAAUCAGAAAUUGUCCUCAAUUGGAGGGUAAGGUGCCCGAGAACCUUGAUUCAUUAGCAACACUUCAAAUCAUUAAAUGCGAGGAAUUGGUGAUUUCAAUUUCCAACUAUAAACAAAUUGGUCGAUUAUGGAUAGAUGGCUGCAAAGCGGUGGUGGAGACAAGUGGCGUUGAGUUUGAGUUAUUAAAUUCCCUGGGGCUUUCAAAUAUUUCAGAGGUGAGGUUCCAAACAGGGGAAUUCACCAAAGGAUUAAGGAAGGUUGCAAAUUUGAGGAUUGGCGGAUGUGAGGAGCUGACAUCUUCACUGAAGAAUGAGGAUAGAGUAUUGCAACACUUGAUUUCUCUUGAUUGUUUGGUUAUUGAAGGAAACUCUUCCCUCCUUGAAAAGCUGGGAAAAGAAGCAGAGGAGUUGCUGCAAUUGCAAAUAUUGACUUGCAAGCUUAAAUAUCUACUAUUAUACAAGUGUGCAAGUCUUUCGAAGGUACCAGAAGGGUUGCAUCACCUAACGGCUCUUCAAGACCUUCAAAUAGUUGGAUGCUCAAGUCUGGUUUCUUUUCCAGAUGUUGGUCUGCCUCCUUCCCUUGAAGUCAUAAGGAUUGAGGAGUGUGAUUCGUUGCUGUAUUUCGCAAAAUACCAGAUUCCCCCAAAUCUAAGAAGAAUAGAGAUAACGAGGUGUAAAAGUUUGAAAUCAUUAGUAGAGAAAGACGAGGAUAGUUCGUCGUCUUCCUCUUCUUCUCAUAUUUCUCUUGAGCACUUGGAAAUAUUGGGAUGUGAAUCUCUAACGUUGUUAUCAUUGAGAGCCCAGUUGUUUCCCAGGGCACUUAAAAGCCUACGCAUAUCCUAUUGCCCAAAUCUGAAAUCGUUACCGGAGGGCCUAUGCUACCUCACCAACCUUCAAACUUUAGAGACUUAUCGUUGUGGGAGUCUGGUUUCCAUCCCGAGCCUGAGUGGUGAGGGUUUGCCUUCGCCAACAACAACAGCCGCCUCCAGCCUGAAAGAAAUCUACAUCGAAAAUUGCAACAAAUUGGAGAUGUUACCGGACAUGUGCAAUCUCAACUGUCUUCAGGAAUUGAAUAUUGAUUACGGUGAAGGUUUAAAUUUCACUUCCUUUCCCCCCAACCUAACAUCACUUACAAUUAGUGGAUUCAAGAAUUGUAAGCCGCUGUGGGAGUUGUUGCACAGGCUCACCUCUCUUACAGGCUUGUCCAUCAAUGGUGAAGACCCAAGUGUGGUGUCAUUUCCACCCAACAGUUACAGGGAGAUGGAGAUGGAGAUGCUGCUCCCCGAAUCUCUCACUCAUCUCUCAAUUGGGGGCUUCCCAAAUCUGAAGAAACUGAGCAGCAAGGGCUUUCAAUCCCUCACCUCUCUUCGAUCUCUUAGACUCCACAAUUCUCCAAAGCUGGCAUCUAUUCCAGUGGAGGGGUUGCCUAUUUCACUGAGGGAACUUAAAAUCAUUAGGUGUCCUCUUCUAAAAGAUAAAUGCCAGCCUGGAAGUAAAGGACGAUACCUGCCCAAAAUAUCCCACAUCCCCCGCAUAGGGAUAUGGGAUUAGAAGACGGUUUGAAGAUGAUGAGAACCCACACCGACACAUGGACAUGGUCAACUCCGACUCUCACUCUCCCAGGUACUCUUUAUGGUGAGACUCCUUUUCUCGCAUAUUAUUGCGAGUAGUUUACUGAUUUGCUGUUUCUGGUUCUUUCUUUACUGAUUUGCGAGUAGUUUAUAAUUUUUUAAUGUCGGGGGAUCCCUGAAAAGAAAAGCAAAUUGUUGACCAAUAUAGUUUUGUCAAAAUUACAGCACUUGCCAAAUAAGGAGACCAAUCAUAUUGAAUUAAAAAAAAUUUAAAUAUAUAUGAUUCUUUAAAUUAGGGAGUAUGAUUGGAGUUUAAAUUUUAUAGCUAAAUUUUAACUAAAAAAAUAAGAAGCAUGAUUAUAGAUGCUGUUAUAUUAUAUAGCUAAUAAGAGUUUUCUUUUCGGUUAACUAUAGUUAAUAUAUAGCAUUUACCUAAGCAUAUGAAUAAUAUAAUUGUACAAAAACGAAAAAGAAAAAGAAAAAAAAAACAACAUUGUUAAAUAAUCAUACUGUUAAUUAUAGGGUUCAUUUGGACAGGAAUUAAUUUAUAUAAAAUAUCUAAAUCACCAGCAGCAAUUGGUGGUUUCAUUUUUUUUAAAAAAAAAAAGAAAAAAAAAAGAGUAAUUUACUGAUUUGCUGGUUCUGGUUCUUGCCUUAUGCUAUUGUACACUCGACUUCUUCAAUCACUAUAAUCUUCAUUUUCACUAAGGCAUGACCAUGACACAUUGAAAUGUGAUUUUCAAUUGCUAUUUUGGUAUUUCAGAACUUAGUUUCUCAUCCAUAAGAAUAAAUACAGGAAGUGCAUUUAAGCCAGAUUAGAUCAGCAAAUUCACAUCACUUCAAGAUGACCGUCUCCCAUCCUGACUGGGGAUUCCCCAACCUCCCACUGCGAUUUACUCUUUUUAAGGCCUCGAUAAAAUUGACCCAGUCCUCGCAUGAUGUCUGGUCCAGUGUGAGAGGGGUAAAAGAAGGGACUGCCUCUCUUGCUUCCGGAGCUGCAGGGUGAAGAGCUGUGAAAGGACUGGAUAGCAACAAGGUCAUUUCAUAUCGUGGUAACAUCAACUGAAGAUGGUAAAUCACUACCUUUCUGUUUCAAGUUUCAGAGUUUUAAUAUUUUGCCAUUUGGUUUGCCCUGUAAUAUUUUGUCAUCUCUGUACUGAGAAAACUUUUACCCAUAUUUCUCUUUCUUUUGUUUGAUUGUAUUCAAGUUGGUAGGUUUACUUAAUCUUAACUUAAGAUUUGAACCCUGACCCCUUUACAAUCUGUAGAGGACUUGUAGAGCUUGCAGUUUUUAAAGGACAUCACGUAAGCAAGUGUGAAUGUGUUGAAAAAAGACCAUUUCAUUAUCAAACAGAGUGAGAAAGCAGCAGCUGGAGCUGGGCCAUUAGACUAACACUAGCCUUGAUUGAAAACCAGUGUGUCUUGUUUUGGUCUGCCAUGGAAUCAAUUUUCUACUUUUCUUUCUUUCUAUUUUUAAUGUAGGCAACUUCCUAUUUCUUUCUAUUUUUAAAGUCAUAAAAUAUUGCUCCUAAAUCUCCAAAUUGAUCAUAAAUAUCUAACCUUUUUUUUUGUUUUUUUGUUUUUUGACAAAGCAAUAUUGUAAAUUAACCUAAUGUAUACGAAGGGAGAUCAAACUUAGGUGUAAGAGAGCAGACAUACUGAAUUUAGGUGCAAGAGAGCAGACACAUUAUCAUGAUUAACUGGCCUAACCCAUAUUUACAUAUCUAACAAAAUUUUCUUAAUUUCUUCCACAAGUAAAUUAAGGGUGGACAUUAAUGUCAUAGCCUUUAUGACUAUGUUAAUUGUGUCGACUGGAUAAAAAGUCCUGGGGAAUUUGCAUUGCGUUUUCCUUAUCCAUCAGAUGCCGAACUUUAUUUUCUUCUCAUUUGUGUCUUGUAGCGCAGACUUUGUUUUUGAGUCUUUUUCAUUGACCCAAAAGAAAAAGAAAAAGAAUAUUUUCUCAUCAUAAACUUCUUAUACUCAAAAUUCUCAAACCCAUAAUUAGUUUCUCCCACAUAAGUUUCAUCCAUCUUCAUAUAUAUAUAUAUAUAUAUAUAUUAUGUCGUUCUUGCUCAAAAUCAAGGUUGAAAUGAGCAAGUUCAUAACCUUCCGUCUAAUGAAAUAAUUAUGUGGCUAGUAUAAAUGUACAUAUCAUGAAUUUCGCAAUGAAGAAAACCAAGUUCAAACAAGUUGAUAUAUCGCACAUGCAUUUAGGCAAUAAAUUUAUUGGUGAAUUCGUGGUUGGACAAAAGCAAGUGUGAAUGAGUUUAAAAAAGACCAUUUCAUUAUCAAACAGAGUGGGAAAGAAGCAACUAGAGUAGGCCCAUUAGACUAUGAUUGAAAAAUCAGUUACUUAUUUGUGUUCUCCAUACAUACUUUGUAGGAGACAUGGCUCCUAGGGCCGUAUGAACUUCCAUGAAAUGAGAGUGAGGGAGAAGCAAUAUGUGACCAACCUCAUCAAAAUUUAUUGGUGAAAUUAAUCACAAUAUGUGGCUGGACAAAAGCAAGUGUGAUGUGAGUGAUUUUAAAAAAAGACCAUGUCAGGAUCAAACGUAAUCAGACAGAAGGACGCGGCAUGAGCUGGAGCUGGGCCAUUAGAAUAGACUAGACACUCCAAUGAUUCAGAACUCAAUUAUCAGCUUCUACUUUUCAUUUUGGCCAAAACAAAGUAAAUAAGCAUUCUACUUUUUUUAUGUAAAGGCUGGGGAAUUUGCAUUGCGUUUUCCUUAUCUACCAGAGUCUUUGUUUCGCAGUCUUUUCCGUUAACUUAAAAUUCUCAAACCCAUAAUUAGUUUCAUCCAUCUUCCACACUCAUCCAUCUUCAUAUAUAUUAUGUCUUGGUUCUGGCUCUCUUGAUCUCUUUUGUUCUAAAAGUGUGUAACUGUGUAUUGCCUUUAAAUUUUCCUUCUUGUUCAUUGUAAUUCGUGAAGAAAUCUGCUGCUGAUACUUAUCCUGCAGGUGCUUUUGAUUUAUUCUGUACGGUGCCUUUUAUUUUUUGUUUCUUCUAGUUUCUUGUAUUUUAUUUGUUUUGCGCAAUGUAAUUAGUUUUUUUUUUUUUUUUUUUAAUCAAAGAAAGAGCGAAUGUAUGUAUCUGCUCAGACUUCCUGUUUUCUUCAUCUAUUUCGCAAGAUACAAUAAUAGAAACUUUGAAGAAUUUUUUAUUCUUUUUUUCAAAACUGAUUUAUGAGUUUUAUAAAUAAAAAAAGGCUCGCUG
rnacentral:lncRNA from 1 species